CCUAAGUUAUAGAGAUGACUGGGGGAAAUUUUCAGGUUCUGUGAGAUGGUCUUAAAUGCUAUUUGCAAAACUGGAAUUUACUUGGAGAUUCUUAGUUGAUAAUUAAAUCUGAGCCAUGUGCCUGGAAAUCUAUAAAUUCCUGUCUUCCAAUCUGAUAUGUUUCAGUUAAGAACGAAUCGCGUGCGCUGAUUACUAAAAUAUGUUGUCAGCUUCAACGUCUGUAGGUGACAUGUUGUUUUUUUACAUUUGUACAGGUAGUGAAAAACUUUAACUUAUACAUAGGACACAUAGAAACUCUGCAUUUCAAAAAUUUGAAUUUGGGGCAAAUUAUUGAAAUUCAUGAUUAACCCAUGAGGCUGGGUCCCCCCAAAUACAAACACAUUCAAAAACAGAUUUCGAAAGUGUCAAGAAAUAUUAGAAAAGUAUCCUUUACUCAGUAUGAUUAAGUCUACCUCAGAUGCUCCAAGCUAUUUUUAAGCAAUUGCUUGAAAUUUUCAACACCAGAGCUGAUACGCUAUCACUGGGUUUCUCACUAAUUCCAGCUCUCACUCUUGGCAAUACACCCCAGCUUUGAUCUGCCUCCGGCUCUUUGGCUUCCACAUUCAGAUUUUGUUCUCUCUGGCUUUUACUCAUUGCUUUCCUUAAUGGAUUUUGGCUUCUCCUAACGUUCUGGGUUUUCUUACUCUGUACAACCUCAGAUGGGCAGACCUUCGUUACCCUCAUGCCCGGCUCACCUCACUAUGGCUGUCUGGAACACACGCCCCUGUGAACUGUCAAUGAGACCCCCCUGGCCUUGUCAUCUUUGAGGUGGGGCAGAUAUUUGAACAAAAAGGACAUUUCCUGAUCCAAACCCCUACACUGGUUUUCCAUCAUCACCUGAAAGGCAGAGUUCUCCGCACCACCCAGCCUACUGCAUCUCCUGCUAGUGCCCCAAAGGUCAUUCCUCAAAAACUUGCUGGUUUUUGUUUCAUUCCCCACUGUGGAAUAUUUCUACCUCUCCCUUCUGAAUUCACCAUGGCCGGUUUCAAUGUUACACACGGCUUUGUUUCAUUCCCCACUGUGGAAUAUUUCCACCUCUGCCUUCUGAAUUCACCAUGGCCGGUUUCAAUGUUUACUUCCUUCUUCACUAAGCAAACGGGCCUGUAUGGAUCCUACUGGCCGGCUGACUCCUUUUCUGAUUAAUCCUGUGUACAGAGCUUUCUUCCAUUAUGUCCAAAAAUGAAUUAAAACUUAGGUGGCACCUACAAUUGAUCAAUCUUGUAUUGUUAUUUUAUAUUCUUCCAUAUUAUAUGGUUAUUCCAAGUAACGGAUAACCUCUUUGAAGAUGGUGACAGACUUUCCAUUACCCCACCCCCACAGAGUAGGCCUUACUUAGGCAUUUAUAAGUCCUGGAUUACACUCUGUUUGUUUUUUAAGUAACCUUUAAAGGUAUGUAUCUCACUGGUAAUAGGAAAAGAAAAACAGGAAGGAGUGAGGGAGAUCUGCUUUUCAUAGACAGGAUGCUCAACUUUUCAGCAUUUCUUUAGGAAGUUCAUGCUGUUCAACUGUUGCAUUCACCUUGGUCUCUUCCAUAGCAUUUCACAGGUUAAUAAAACCUAACACUUAUCCA
rnacentral:lncRNA from 1 species